CUCAUGAACAGAAACACUACCUUUCCUCUUCGAACUCUCUCUCUCUUUUAUACGCAGCUGAGAUUCAUUCCUGCAACUGAAUCUUCAUCUACGUUUCAGGCAAUUUCAAAACAUCUAUGAAGAAGAUGGAGAUUUAGAUCAAUUUUUCUCCCCUUAUACGAUUAGGAUCUAUUCUGUGUUGGCUUUUGCGUGUACUUUACUUGCGCGCCUAAUGUUCGAAAGCUGUGAGAUUUAAACUCAGUGGUGAAGCAAGAACGAAAACAGGACGAGCAGGGGAAACUAGCAAGUGCGGUACUUAGGAUGAAGAUGGGAAACUAGAGAGAGUGCGGUGAUUUUUAAGUUGUCGAGGUUGGUAAGUGCGAAAGGGUAUGGUAAUACUCUUUUGAACUGAAAAUCAGACCAAGCAGAUGUUUGUUUGCGUUUCUUCAGAUACAGGAUGCUUCUGGAACCUGCUAUUGUUGCUCAUUAUCUCUCACUCCUUUAAGUACAAUAGAUUGCAAGUGAGGCUGUCAUGGAAGAGAAAGGGUGGAUAAAUAACCAUUUUAACUCUUUGUGUGUUUUUUACUUGGGGAAUUCAGUUUAACAUGUUUGUGGUGAUCGGAUUUAUAAAUAGUGGCGAGAUGAAGAAGCUCUCCUUCCUGUUUGUAAUGGGAACUAAUAAUACGAUGGUAAUGAACGUUGAGUACCUAUAUGUGAAAUCUUGAUUGAUCUGAGAAUGAUGGCAGACAAACUUAACAGUAGUUUGAUAACACUUUUAUUGUUGUAAGAAGAUCAAUGGUCUUGUCCAUUCCAAACUUUUUCAGAUAAAUCGCCAAAUUGCUUCA